UGAGGAAUAUUGGACAAUGGGUGGAAGCCUGAUCCAGCCAUCCCGCGUGAAGGAUGACGGUCCUAUGGAUUGUAAACUUCUUUUGUACAGGGAUAAACCUGCCCUCGUGAGGGCAGCUGAAGGUACUGUACGAAUAAGCACCGGCUAACUCCGUGCCAGCAGCCGCGGUAAUACGGAGGGUGCGAGCGUUAUCCGGAUUUAUUGGGUUUAAAGGGUCCGUAGGCGGGCCUGUAAGUCAGUGGUGAAAUCUCAUAGCUUAACUAUGAAACUGCCAUUGAUACUGCAGGCAUUGAGUAAAUCUGAAGUCGCUGGAAUAAGUAGUGUAGCGGUGAAAUGCAUAGAUAUUACUUAGAACACCGAUUGCGAAGGCAGGUCACUAAGAUUUAACUGACGCUGAUGGACGAAAGAGUGGGGAGCGAACA
rnacentral:rRNA from 1 species